GCGGGGGCGGGGAAGGCGAGCGUCCCCGCUUUAGAGGGGUACCGCGUGCCAGGCGGGUAACCGCUGCCGCCGCCGCUCUGUAAGAGGGCCUUGGCGGCUUGCGGGGACACGCAGCCCGCCUAGGGCCUGUGGCGGUGAGGGGCUGCCCCUGGGCAGGGCUCCUUCCCCUGCCCCCGGAAGGGCUUCCGCCGCGGCGGCCCAGCGGCCCGGGGCGAGGAAGCGGGCAACGAGCCGCGGCCACAACUCCACGUCCCGAGGGAGCUGUAGCUCUCCUAACAAGAGCUAUACAGAAUGUAAAGAUAUUUGUGCUGUUACAGCUGUGGAAUUCAUGAAGAAUAAACAAAUGGUGCAAAAGAGAAGACAAGCUACAGCCACUGACCUUUCAGAAAUAUAUAUACACAUACACAGCACGGAAGCAGGAAACAUAACAAAACAAAAUAUACUUUAUUAAAAUUAAGCAUGUUAGCACCUCAGUGUAACCUGGAGAAGCUGAACAGUCCAGCAGUUAACCAGUCCAGCAGGCCAAAUGGCUGAACAUCCUGAAGUGCAUUCCAAUGGUAGAAAAAGUACCACGACUGUUACAACACGCACAUUCUCAAGAAGCUAGGACGCACAACCAGUCUCAUUUGUGAGGAGGGAUGUUGUGCUGCCUAUUGUCUUGAUGGGAGCCUAUAGAUCUGCUGGACCAAUUACAUAUGUUAAAUCAGAUGGUGUAGCAGGUACCUGCCUUCCCUACAAAAAAAGAAAAAUCAAACCAACCAACCAAC